UAGAAACUGGCUUCUACUCAAAGCAGACAAACUGUCUCUCUCAUCUCUGAAAACUAAAAAUCUAAAAAGAAAAAAUUAGGCUGAAUACUAGAAGGUCAGAGAGUGGCCUUUUUGUCAACUCUUCAUGGUUGUGUUAAGUGCCAUUCCAUUCUGAGCUGGCAGUUCUUAGACAUGUUUCCCUCUAGAACAUAACACUAGAGAUGCUUGGACCAUCUGUCUGUCCGACAGACCAUCUGUACAAGGCACUGGCACCCCUUCCAGAAAAUAGAAGAGAAACUGAGGACACUAAAUAGGGAAUAACUAAGUCCACUUUGGAAAAAAGAAUACUAAGUGCUCACGAAGGGACCUUGUGAAUGAUCAUGUGCAAAGUUACGGAUGCUGAAAAGCCAAAGGUCAAAAGGCUGCAUCUGUUAAGAGCCUUCUUGCUGGUGGAAACUUUGAAGAGUCCCAAGAUGGCACAGGAAGCAUCUUGAAUUUUGAGAGUAAAUCAAGAAAGAAGAAGACACUGAUUCAAGAAGAGGCCACCUAACAUAACAGGUUUCUCUGAUUUUUGCCUCUCAUAAGCUAGGAAGCACCCCAGUGGAUCAUAAUAGGGGAUUUUCAUGGAUACCACAGCUUCUAUGAUUUCGCUGAGUCCCCACCCAAAUCUCAUCUUGAAUUGUAGUUCCCCAAAUUCCCACAUGUUGUGGGAGGAACCAGGUGGGGAUAAUUGAAUCAUGUGAGCACUUUUCCCCAUCCUGUUCUAGUGAUAGUGAAUUCGUUUUCAUGAGAUCUGAUGGUUUUAUAAGGGGCUUCCUCCUUCACUGGGCAUUCAUUCUUCUCUCUCCUGCCACCAUGUGAAGACAGACAUGUUUGUUUCCCCUUCCACAAUGAUUGUAAGUUUCCUGAAGCCUCUCCAGCCAUGCUGAAUUGUGAGUCAAUUAAACAUCUUUUCUUUGUAAAUUAUCCAGUCUUGGGUAUGUCUUUAUUAGCAUCGUGAGAACAGACUAAUACAGUCACUGAUUUCAUAAGCCAAUAGUUGAUGCUAUGUUAAAGCAACAUUUCUCAAAUGGCCCUAAGAGAAUUAGGUUGGAAAAAAUAGGGUUGUAUGGGACUCUACUGUACAGUACAGGACAGUUAGCCUCACGGGACUUUGGGCAUUACGUGUCAAUAGCACUCACCACUUGUUGUAAAAUGUAAAAUGCCUCCUCCAUUUUCCAAAUGCUUUUGGAGGGAGUUGCUGAGUAGCAACUGUGGCUGAGAAACUCCAAUUAAAAACAAAUAAAUAGAUAAUUUUAAAAAUCUUAUCAUGAGGUGCCAAAUGGUAAAAUAGCUGACCAAGUUGGUAUAAACCACCACAGAGAGGAA
rnacentral:lncRNA from 10 species